UUUUGAUCCCAGGCUGGUAAAAAAUGUAAACUUUUAGCCC
rnacentral:rRNA from 12 species